rnacentral:rRNA from 1 species
UCAAAUUUAAAAUCUGGUAGUCUUUGGCUGCCCGAGUUGUAAUCUAGAGAAGUGUUAUCCGCGUUGGACCGUGUACAAGUCUCCUGGAAUGGAGCGUCAUAGAGGGUGAGAAUCCCGUCUUUGACACGGACUACCAGUGCUUUGUGAUGCGCUCUCAAAGAGUCGAGUUGUUUGGGAAUGCAGCUCAAAAUGGGUGGUAAAUUCCAUCUAAAGCUAAAUAUUGGCGAGAGACCGAUAGCGAACAAGUACCGUGAGGGAAAGAUGAAAAGAACUUUGGAAAGAGAGUUAAACAGUACGUGAAAUUGCUGAAAGGGAAACGCUUGAAGUCAGUCGCGUUGCCUGGGGAUCAACCUUACUUUUGUUGGGUGUACUUUCCAGGUGACGGGUCAGCAUCAAUUUUGACCGUUGGAUAAAGUGUAGAGAAAUGUGGCAUCUUCGGGUGUGUUAUAGUCUUUAUUCGUAUACAACGGUUGGGAUUGAGGAACUCAGUACGCCGCAAGGCCGGGAUUUAUCCACGUUCGUACUUAGGAUGCUGGCAUAAUGGCUUUAAUCGACCCGUC